ensembl:lncRNA
CUGAGCAGCGCUGCUACCAGGGCCAUGGAGCACGCAAGAAGCUUUCCAAACGCGAGUGCCAGUUUCUUCGCAGUUCUACUCGUAUUGCUUCACUUUGUAUUGCUUUAUGCUAUGAGAGCUCAGACUCCAAGGAAAGAAGCUUCAAAAUCGAAAUUUCAUAAAUGUUCUUAAAAUAUUUUGUGGCUUUAAAUAGAUACCUAUGUCCAUAAUAUGGCCAGGUUUGUGGGAAGACACCUUUGAGUUGCAAGGAUCUCUACAAGGAAAAAACAAACAACUGCACACUAAUUUAAGAAGGCAUUUUCCUACCAAUCUUCCACACCGUGGCUACUUAAGUACAAAUGUGAUAACUACCACGAGGGCACCAGGAGGACUGAGGGCUCCUUGGGGGGUAGCAGGGCACAGCCUGGGGCCCAUGAGCCAUCCCAGCACCCAGCCAGGGAGCCCCAACUCCUGGCACAGUGCAGUGGUGGCAGGGCUGAGUCCUCCAUCUUCCGGCCCAGGGCCAAGGGCAGGGUGUGGGACAGCAGGGCUCCUAGUGCCCGCCUGACAGAACCCAUCCACCGCAGGGGCUUUGAGUCAUAGAACCAUUAAGGUUGGAAAAGAUCUCUAGGAUAUUCACGCCCAACCCAUCCCCACCACAUCCGCUGAACCAUGUCCCUCAGUGAGGCAUCUCCGUGGUUCCUGAGUGCACUGUGCACUCCUCAGACACAGCACCUCACUGCACACACACUGCCCUCACCGAGGCACGCUGGCGUAGUUCAUAAAUAUUUCCAACUGAGGAAGCAGAGAACAAUUGCAUCAUUAAGAUUGAAAAGCGCGAUGAAACAGAGGAAAACACUCUGAAUCCCUUAAUGGAAAUGAAGAGGAAAGUGCAGGUGAAACGCCCCGACAGCCACCCUACUGCUGCUCCUGGAGAAGAACAGAGCAGCCGCUUGCUGCAUGGCCUCAACCCUUCAAGGCUGUGUCGGACGGGAUGACAGUGCCCCAGGAAGUCACGAGAGGCAUUCCCAGCAUUGUUCAGCAGUAAGGCAGGAAGCGGCGUUCUGAACGGCAGGAACUGGGAAAGGUUAUCCUGGAUCACUGUGAGCUGCAGCACCAGCUGUUUGUUCAGCCAGAAUGCGACUCGUGUGGUAUUUUUCACCCUGCUUCAAUAAAUGCAGCAGCUGCCAUGCAGCCCAGGUUUGCAGAAACGCAGUGGGGCUGCAGAUGGGGGCUGGAGGCCGAGCCGUGCCGCCGGCUUCCCACGGGCUGAGCGCUGCACUCAUCCACUGCUGGAUGCUGACGGGAGGGAAAUAACCUGAGUCUCUGCACGCAGUGCCUGAGCUGAGCUGUCCGACUCCGUCCUCGUGACACAGAAGGGAACCCUGGAUUCUUUCUGCCAUGUCCUGUGAGGCAGUGCAUGAAAACAGCAUCCCCGUCUCUAAGACUUUUCAUUGACACGUGAAAUGAGGAAGUAUUUAAGGGCCAUUGCAGUGAAAGUGCAAGCACACCUGGCUCUCCAGAGGCUCACACACGUACUGUGCCAGAGCACACUGUGUGCACCCAAAGCAGAGCGCUGCAGGCAGUGCUGGAGCAGAUGGGCACAGGGCAGCCGUGGCUGCUGCUGCUGGUGGAGCUGUGCAGGGCCCCGAGCACACUGAGGGCAGCUCAGCAUUCAUUUUCUUCAUUUCAGUCACUCUGCUGAGAUCACUCAGAGUUAAUUACAGCAAUUUGAUUUGCGUCUCUUGUUCUGUUCGUGAUCCUCUGGGCUUGUUUUCUCAUUGCUAAAGGCUGCUCUGUAUCGUUAAAUGGCUUUAGAGAUGCACAGGAAGGUGUGAUGUGAAGGCUUUCAGAAAUACACGGAACAGAUCAGAGCAAGACACCAACAGCCCCCAACUGCUGGCUCUCUGGUGUGCCUCCCAGCACAGCAACAACAUGAGGCAGCUGUGAACUGCCGCUUCCUCCUGCUCCUUUUUUAACAUGUGCACACACACAAUAUUUAUAUCAAUUUACUUCACACACAUAUAUAUUUGCCUCACGUUUUCAAUACCUCACUCUCUACAAAAGAAAGCCAUCACUAAGGAGAAACAAAAUGGAUUUCCAAGAGCAGCCAUGGUCGGAGCUGAGAACAGCCGCUGCCCUGAAGGAGCACAGCAGUGGGCAGUGCUCACCUGUCCUCCUCGGUGGAAGAAAGACAGCAGCAUCCCAAAAUAUAUUUCCUACAUCUUCAUGAAAAACAAGGUGCUUUCUGAAAGCUUACUUUGUUAUGAGUACAUGAGUAAUGGAUAGCUAAUGCCUCAUUUUAACAGUCAAACAUUGAGCACUUCCAGCCAAUUCUGCUGAAGCAGGAGAAAAAGAGUGACCUAAAGGAUAGUAAGAAACACCUGGCUCUAGGCUCCAGUGUUGGUCCUUCAUUCCAUAUAAGAUGGUAAUAAAGUAAGAGCAAAAUAACCCACAGCAUCACGGCAUUAGUAUGGAGAAAAGCAGC